UUCGAAAGCUGUCGCUUCCCUCCCUCGGUUUGAGCAACAGAGUUUUAUCUCCAAAAGAAACAAAGGAAAAAGUAAGUAAAAAGCCAAAGAGAAAUUAAAGAGAGAGAGAAAAAAAAAAUUAUAAUGGCGGUCCCGCAGCGGUGGUGAAAGCAAUUGCACAAUUUCAACGAUUCAUCGAUAAUCAAUCAUUAAUCGUUUUAACUUUUUGUUCGAAUUCCAAAGCCGAUGAGGUAUGGGCUAAUCCCACUUCUGGUCCCCGUCGGAUUGAGACUCCUAACAAAAGCGAAGCAAGCCGUGCUACUAGCGGGGAUCUGUUUAUCAGCUGGCUUCAAAGAAAUGAACGCUUGACUAAUCCGUCAGGGUGCUCCCGCCCUUAACCUAGGUUGAGACCUUUCGAGAUUCUUAGUCAAGCCUCAACACCCUGUAAUCUUUCUAAAGCGGAUUGAACUCAUGGAUGGGUGAUGGCUGCCAUAUGGUGAAGAGUUUCCUAUAAUAGCUUAAAGAACUCCAUUAAAAUUUAAAUGGCUAUGGCUCCAGGAAGCAGUACCUGCAAAGAAGUAGUUGAUUCUCAUCCUUCAGUUUCAGGGCAUGACAUAGCAAUGUCUAAAUCAGAGAAUAAUUCUACAUCUUCAAAAGUCCUACUUGGUUCGAGUGGGAAGCUUGGAGUUUAUUCAACCAAUGGCGUGCAAGAAUUGCUCGAGUGUCCUGUCUGCACAAAUCUGAUGUACCCUCCAAUUUACCAGUGCCCAAACGGCCACACACUGUGCUCAAACUGCAAGAUCAGAGUUAGCAACUGCUGCCCGACCUGUCGUCAUGAACUCGGAAACAUAAGGUGCUUGGCAUUGGAGAAGGUAGCUGAGUCGCUGGAAAUCCCCUGCAGAUACCAGAAUUUGGGUUGCCAAGAUAUUUUCCCUUACUACAGUAAGCUUAAGCAUGAGCAACACUGUCGAUUCCGUCCUUACAACUGCCCUUAUGCUGGAUCCGAGUGCUCGGUCACGGGCGACAUCCCGUCUCUUGUUGCACAUCUCAAAGAUGAUCACAAGGUUGACAUGCACGACGGGUGUACCUUCAAUCAUCGCUAUGUGAAAUCAAAUCCACACGAAGUUGAAAACGCCACAUGGAUGCUAACGGUUUUCAACUGCUUUGGAAGACAGUUCUGCUUGCAUUUCGAGGCGUUCCAGCUAGGAACAGCGCCUGUUUACAUGGCGUUCUUACGAUUCAUGGGCGAAGAUAACGAAGCAAAAAAGUUCAGCUACAGUUUGGAAGUGGGUCACAACGGGCGUAAACUGAUAUGGCAAGGAAUUCCGAGAGGCAUCCGUGACAGUCACCGAAAAGUUCGUGAUAGUCAAGACGGUCUCAUCAUUCAAAGAAAUCUGGCACUGUAUUUUUCGGGGGGAGAAAGACGAGAGCUGAAACUGAGAAUCACGGGUCGAAUAUGGAAAGAAGAAUGAGAGCAGGAGCAAGGGCCUAAGCUAAGCUCUUGUGGUGUUCAGGUGAAUGUAUCAUUGUACAGGUAAAACAAGUUUGUUCUCCAAGUGCUGAAAAAGCUCUUGGAGAAACUUCCAAGCUAAUAUAAAAAAUGUAACCUACAAAAUGAAUCAAAGAAGCUUUUAUGUAUUUAUAGUUCGAGAUUCGUUUCAA